AAAGGCAUUGUUAUAUUGGCUAUGGCUAGAUGAUGCCAGAUUCAUUUGAAUAUUUUGUAUUUUGUUCUUUAUGUGAAUGCAUCAACUUUAUUUGGUUGAGACUAUAAAAUGGGUUUCAGACUUUCAGUUGGGCACUGAAAUUAUAAAUCAAAACAUAUGCUAAUUACUUUAUUUGGUUGCAGCCGAAAUUCUUUGUUUAAUAAAAAAUUUCUUUGAUUUUGUGUUGUUAUGAAAAAGAAAUAUAUGUAAUUAGUUUCUGAGUAAUUAAAAUUUUGGAGAGCAGUAUAAUAGUAAUUGAAAUUUUGCUUCCUUAUAAUAAUAUGCUACAUUUGUCUAAUUUAUAUUUUGCUUUCUUUUUUUUUUUCAGAAUUUCAAGAGUUAUGUCAAUCAACAAUAGGAGUGUAGUAGUCCAUUAUUGGCAGAAUUUUGAAUGAUUGAGAUUAUAAAAUUAGCAAAUUUAUUGCUUAUUCAUGAAAAGUUUAGG
rnacentral:misc_RNA from 1 species